AGUUCAUACUACACAAACUAUUUCCUUGUAACACGGCUUAUUACAAACAUAUUAUGGCGACCAUGUUGAAAUUAUCUCUAGCUUUAUUAAUGUUGUUGGGUGCAGUAAUGGUGGUGGUAACAAUGGAUGUAUAUGGUUGUUAUCAACAACCCGAUUCGCCAUGUUCAAAUUUUACUAUAACCUGUGAAGUUGGUACACGUAUUAUAUUUUACGCCCUGCAGUACUAUACCAAACCAUCGAUUAACAUCUGUCCACCACUACAAGAUAAAGAUGAUUGUAACACGAGUCAAUGCUGUACCAGGAAUUCUAGUGAUAGAAAUGAAACUUUCAGUCGGCAAGAUAGUUAUUCUGUUUAUACAGCCUGUACUUAUCAAAAAUCAUGUACCAUCACCUCCCCUUAUACUCCUAAUAGUAAUACUCCUUAUCAUUAUGUACAUUAUGGUUAUAAUUGUACUCCUGGUAAGUAAUCCCAUUAUUUAUAUAGUAGAAUUGUAUAUUACAUACGGUAUCUUCUUAAAAGUACUCCCGUCAGACCUUGUAGAUGCGUGCCUCUCUAAUCAAAAAUAAUUAAUUGUAACAAUAAAGAUAA